CGGAAUAUACAGUCUCCAGCCGAGCACCAAGGGCAGUUCACUGAUAUCGGGGGAACCCACCCACAAUAUAUCAAUGUAGGUUCUUUCUAUUUUCUAUAAGUGUCAGACUGCUGAGAAAUAAAGAGAAAGAGUACAAAGAGAGGAAUUUUAUAGCUGGGCCGCUGGGGGUGAUAUCACAUAUCACCGUGAUGCCCACCUGAGCCUCAAACCAGCAAGUUUUUUAUUAAGGGUUUCAAAAGGGGAAGGGGUGUAAGAACAGAGAGUAGGUACAAAGAUCACAUGCUUCAAAGGGCAAAAAGCAGAACAAAGAUCACAUGCUUCUGAGGGAACAGGACAAAAGGCAAAGCAGAACUACUGAUAAGGGUCCAACAAAGAUCCCAAGGCAAAGGGCAAAAGCAGAACUACUGUUAAGGGUCUAUAUUCAGCGAUGCAUGUAUUGUCUUGAUAAACAUCUUAAACAACAGAAAACAGGGUUCGAGAGCAGAGAACCAGUCCGACCACAAAUUUACCAGGGCGGAGUUUUUCCCCACCCUAAUAAGCCUGAGGGUACUGCAGGAGACCAGGGUAUAUAUCUCAGUCCUUUCCUCAACCGCAUAAGGCAGACAUUCCCAGAGCAGCCGUUUAUAGACCUCCCCCCAGGAAUGCGUUCCUUUCCCAGGGUAUUAAUGUUAACAUUCUUUGCUAGGAAAAGAAUUUAGUGAUAUCUCUCCUACUUGCAAGAAGAAAAAUAUGGCUCUUUUUUGCCCGACACUGCAGGCAGUCAGACCUUAUGAUUGUCUUCCCUUGUUCCCUAAAAAUCACUGUUAUUCUGUUCUUUUUCAAGGUGCACUGAUUUCAUAUUUGUUCAAACACAUGUUUUACAAUCAAUUUGUACAGUUAACACAGUUAUCACAGUGGUCCUGUGGUGAUGUACAUCCUCAGCUUACAAAGAUAAUAGGAUUAAGAGAUUAAAGUAAAGGCAGGCAUAAGAAAUUAUAAAAGUAUUAUUUGGGAACUGAUAAAUGUCCAUGAAAUCUUCACAAUUCAUGUUCCUCUGCUGCGGCUCCAGCCGGUCCCUCCGUUCGGAGUCCCGGACUUCCCACAACAACUCAGACUAUGGCACUUUCUAGUUUUCUCUUAGAGACAGGGUCUUGCUCUGUCACUCACGCUGGAGUGCAGUGGUAUGAUCACAGCUCACUGAAGCCUUGACCUCCCAGGCUCAAGUGAUACUUCCACCUCAACCUCCCAAGUAGCUAGGACUACGGGUGUGCACCAUGGCACCUGGCUAAUUUUUUAAUUUUUGGUAGGGGCAGGGUCUUGCUAUAUUGCCCAGACUUGUCUCCAAUUCCUGGCCUCAAGUGAUCCUUUCACCUCGGCCUCCCAAAGUGCUGGGAUUACAGGUGUGAGUCACCAUGGGCAAUAGCAUUUUCACUGAUCCAAACAGUAUUUGAGGAGAUGCUAUAUUCAGGCUUAUACAUUCUAGAACUUUUCCUUUUCAAGAUUUAAACUUCCUGUAUAACAAUGUCCUAUAUCUUGUGGCUGCUAAUAACUGGAAUAAUAAUAGCUAACUUUAUUGAAUGUUUACUGUGUGCUUUAUACACAUGAUCUCAUUUAAUCUUCAUAACAACCUGACGAGGUGAUUUAUUAUUAUUCCCACUUUACAGAUGAGAAAACUGAGGCUCAGGAAAGUUAAGUAACAAGUGAAGUUUCCACAGCUAGUACUGUAAGUGGGAGAACUGAGAUUUAAGUCCAGGUCUUUCUGAUACUGGAGUUCUUGCCUGUGAGCACUCUGCAAUACUGCCUCCAAAGUAAUGACAUGCAUGCAAGCACCAGGCACAUAAUAGGUACUCAAUAAAAGUUGGCUCUCUUCCUUCAAUCAAGAAGUGUAUCAAAGGCUGGGCAAGGUGGCUCACACCUGUAAUCUAACACUUUGGAAGGCCAAGGAGGAAGGAUUGUUUGAGCCCAGGAGUCUGAAACCAGCUGGGCAACAUAGUGAGACCUCAUCUCUACAAAAUAUAGAAAAAAUUAGCCAAGUGUUGGUGGCACACACCUGUAAUCCCAGCUACUUGGGAGGCUGAGGUAGGAGGAUCACCUGAGCCCAGGAGGCCGAGGCUGCAGUGAGCUGU
rnacentral:lncRNA from 1 species